AUUGAACGCUGGCGGCAGGCCUAACACAUGCAAGUCGAGCGAGCGGCGGACGGGUGAGUAAUGUAUGGGGACUGCCCGAUAGAGGGGGAUAACUACUGGAAAAGGUAGCUAAUACUGCAUACCAUCUGAUAACCCCUAUGGGAUUAGCUAGUAGGUGAGGUAAUGGCCCACCUAGGCGACGAUCCCUAGCUGGUCUGAGAGGAUGAUCAGACACAUGGGGACGAGGACACGGCCCAGACUCCUACGGAGGCAGCAGUGGGGAAUAUUGCACAAUGGGGGCAAGCCGGAUGCAGCCAUGCCGCGUGUAUGAAGAAGGCCUUAGGGUGGUAAAGUACUUUCAGUGGGGAGGCGUUACCGACAGAAGAAGCACCGGCUAACUCCGUGCCAGCCGCCGCGGUAAUUC
rnacentral:rRNA from 1 species